rnacentral:misc_RNA from 1 species
UAAUGUUAGUGGGGGUAUAUAAAGGCAUAAAGAGAUAAAAUCCAUCCACUAACUCAUCUUCUUCAUUUCAUUCUCUCUUGGCCGAAAUCUUGUUCUCUCAUUUCCUCCAUGAAUGUUCUUCAUGCAAGCUCUAAAUCCUUCCAUUCUCACCCUAAUCCUCACAAGUUCCUUCAUUAAAGUUAGUCUUCACACCUUGGGAAGUCUAUAGGCAGCAAAAGGAAGGA